GACGAACGCUGGCGGCGUGCUUAACACAUGCAAGUCGAACGGAAAGGCCCUGCUUUUGUGGGGUGCUCGAGUGGCGAACGGGUGAGUAACACGUGAGUAACCUGCCCUUGACUUUGGGAUAACUUCAGGAAACUGGGGCUAAUACCGGAUAGGAGCUCCUGCUGCAUGGUGGGGGUUGGAAAGUUUCGGCGGUUGGGGAUGGACUCGCGGCUUAUCGGCUUGUUGGUGGGGUAGUGGCUUACCAAGGCUUUGACGGGUAGCCGGCCUGAGAGGGUGACCGGCCACAUUGGGACUGAGAUACGGCCGAGACUCCUACGGGAGGCAGCAGUGGGGAAUAUUGCACAAUGGGCGGAAGCCUGAUGCAGCAACGCCGCGUGCGGGAUGACGGCCUUCGGGUUGUAAACCGCUUUCGCCUGUGACGAAGCGUGAGUGACGGUAAUGGGUAAAGAAGCACCGGCUAACUACGUG
rnacentral:rRNA from 1 species